AGUUUGAUCCUGGCUCAGGAUGAACGCUAGCUACAGGCUUAACACAUGCAAGUCGAGGGGAAACGACAUCGAAAGCUUGCUUUUGAUGGGCGUCGACCGGCGCACGGGUGAGUAACGCGUAUCCAACCUGCCCACCACUUGGGGAUAACCUUGCGAAAGUAAGACUAAUACCCAAUGACGUCUCUAGAAGACAUCUGAAGGAGAUUAAAGAUUUAUCGGUGAUGGAUGGGGAUGCGUCUGAUUAGCUUGUUGGCGGGGUAACGGCCCACCAAGGCGACGAUCAGUAGGGGUUCUGAGAGGAAGGUCCCCCACAUUGGAACUGAGACACGGUCCAAACUCCUACGGGAGGCAGCAGUGAGGAAUAUUGGUCAAUGGGCGAGAGCCUGAACCAGCCAAGUAGCGUGCAGGAUGACGGCCCUAUGGGUUGUAAACUGCUUUUAUAAGGGAAUAAAGUGAGUCUCGUGAGACUUUUUGCAUGUACCUUAUGAAUAAGGACCGGCUAAUUCCGUGCCAGCAGCCGCGGUAAUACGGAAGGUCCGGGCGUUAUCCGGAUUUAUUGGGUUUAAAGGGAGCGUAGGCCGGAGAUUAAGCGUGUUGUGAAAUGUAGACGCUCAACGUCUGCACUGCAGCGCGAACUGGUUUCCUUGAGUACGCACAAAGUGGGCGGAAUUCGUGGUGUAGCGGUGAAAUGCUUAGAUAUCACGAAGAACUCCGAUUGCGAAGGCAGCUCACUGGAGCGCAACUGACGCUGAAGCUCGAAAGUGCGGGUAUCGAACAGGAUUAGAUACCCUGGUAGUCCGCACGGUAAACGAUGGAUGCCCGCUGUUGGUCUGAAUAGGUCAGCGGCCAAGCGAAAGCAUUAAGCAUCCCACCUGGGGAGUACGCCGGCAACGGUGAAACUCAAAGGAAUUGACGG
rnacentral:rRNA from 1 species